CUUCCCUGACUUUUAGUUAAUGCUGUUGCAAAAACUGCAUUAUUUAUGGAUGAGCCAAAUAUUAUAUAUAUAUAUAUAUAUAUGGGAUGACUCUAUAUACAAA